CCAACAUUUAAUAGAUAGGUUCACUUCACUAAUUUCUCAUGUUGUUAGGCAAGCUAAAAUUCUAGCCAACAUUUGUUUCCUCCAAAAGUUCUUAUGUAAUUCACACAUAGUCUUUUCCUCAAAAAAAAAAAAAAAAAAAAAAAAAUCACUCAUAAUAGUCUCAAAAUUACAAUAAGAAUUAUAUGUUGUUGUAUCUAUGUACCAAACCAACUAAAAUUUUCCGUUUGUAGUGGAACCAUAUCAUUACUCCCAAUUAACUUUUUUAGAAGUUCCUCCGAAAUUAAACAAUUUUACUUGUGAUCAAAUAUUACUCCUUCAU
rnacentral:lncRNA from 1 species